UUCACCACCCUGAAAAGUAGGCAACACAGAUUUCAUUAUCCCCACUUCGCAGAUGAAGAAACGAAAGUCAAUGGGAAAGUCAGGGACUGACUUGAAUUUUCACAAGGAGCAUGGGAUGCAGCAGGACACAGACUUUCAUCAUCUGACAUCUUUCAGCUCUCGGUGCCAUAAGCCUUGCCAAGUUUAUAUAAGCUGGAUUACUGCCAAACCAACUGCAGUUCUCUAAGCACCAACAUUCAGAUGUGCCUUGCCGCUUCGUCAUGCAGGGACCUGUGCUCAUCAACCAAAUCUCAACAGCGUCUAUUCGUCACUUGGCUUGCAUCAAGCCCGGCACUGUGUGAUAUGCAGAGGAGAUCAUGAAGGAAAGAGAAUUCCUGCCCUCAACGAGCUGACAGUCUAGAGGUGGAUCCAUACAGGAGGAAGGUGCUACCAUUUUACAGAAGAACACAAUGAGGGAAAGAGAAAUGAAGUAUCUUACCAAUGCGACUGGCUCCAUGGAGCAGUGGAUAGUCUGGAAUUACCAGCUAAGCUGAUAAAUAGAAAUGAGUCCAAAAAGAAAAGUCUAAAAAUUAUU